rnacentral:rRNA from 1 species
GGGGAAUUUUGGACAAUGGGGGCAACCCUGAUCCAGCCAUGCCGCGUGAGUGAAGAAGGCCUUCGGGUUGUAAAGCUCUUUCGGCCGGGAAGAAAUCGCGUUGGCUAAUACCCAGCGUGGAUGACGGUACCGGAAUAAGAAGCACCGGCUAACUACGUGCCAGCAGCCGCGGUAAUACGUAGGGUGCGAGCGUUAAUCGGAAUUACUGGGCGUAAAGCGUGCGCAGGCGGUUUUUUAAGAUAGGCGUGAAAUCCCCGGGCUCAACCUGGGAACUGCGCUUAUGACUGGAAGACUAGAGUAUGGCAGAGGGGGGUGGAAUUCCACGUGUAGCAGUGAAAUGCGUAGAGAUGUGGAGGAACACCGAUGGCGAAGGCAGCCCCCUGGGCCAAUACUGACGCUCAUGCACGAAAGCGUGGGGAGCAAAC